rnacentral:lncRNA from 1 species
UUGUAAAAGGCAAUAAUGCCCAUGCACGCAUGCAACAUAUGUGUACUAACUGACGGAAUAGGCCAAUUAGACUUGAUUUGCAGAUGACGCAAAAUAUAAUGACCAAAAUCAGAAAAUUGAAAGUGCAAUGACCUAAUUUAAAUUCGACCCUAACCCUAGUGACUAAAAAUAUAAUUACCCCUAAGAGUUUUAAUUUACAAAAGUUUUACAUUGAAGGUGACAGAACCCACCCCGAAUUCACUAUUGGAAUCCGAACACUAUGGUUGUCCGACAUCUAGCAAAUGUCGUGCCGACUUUACUAAACUACUCUUGACCUCGUUUAAAAC